rnacentral:tRNA from 1 species
GUCAACGUGCCAGAGUGGUUAAUGGGCUGCCCUGCUAUGUUGUCUCGAGCAAUCGAGACUCUCAGCUCAGGCAGUGGCUUCGGUCGCGCAAGUUCGAAUCUUGUCGUUGACG